AGUAAUGUAUGGGGAUCUGCCCGAUAGAGGGGGAUAACUACUGGAAACGGUGGCUAAUACCGCAUAAUGUCUACGGACCAAAGCAGGGGCUCUUCGGACCUUGCACUAUCGGAUGAACCCAUACGGGAUUAGCUAGUGGGUGGGGUAAAGGCUCACCUAGGCGACGAUCUCUAGCUGGUCUGAGAGGAUGAUCAGCCACACUGGGACUGAGACACGGCCCAG
rnacentral:rRNA from 1 species